UACGUAGGGGGCUAGCGUUGUCCGGAAUCAUUGGGCGUAAAGCGCGCGUAGGCGGUCAGGAAAGUCCGGUGUGAAAGUCAUAGGCUCAACCUAUGGAUGCCGCUGGAAACUGCCUGACUUGAGUCCGGAAGGGGCGAGUGGAAUUCCUGGUGUAGCGGUGAAAUGCGCAGAUAUCAGGAGGAACACCAGUGGCGAAGGCGACUACCUGGCCCAUUCUUGACGCUGAGGCGCGAAAGCUAGGGGAGCGAACGGG
rnacentral:rRNA from 1 species